GACGAACGCUGGCGGCGUGCUUAACACAUGCAAGUCGAACGGAAAGGCCCUGCUUUUGUGGGGUGCUCGAGUGGCGAACGGGUGAGUAACACGUGAGUAACCUGCCCUUGACUUUGGGAUAACUUCAGGAAACUGGGGCUAAUACCGGAUAGGAGCUCCUGCUGCAUGGUGGGGGUUGGAAAGUUUCGGCGGUUGGGGAUGGACUCGCGGCGUAUCAGCUUGUUGGUGGGGUAGUGGCUUACCAAGGCUUUGACGGGUAGCCGGCCUGAGAGAGUGACCGGCCACAUUGGGACUGAGAUGCGGCCCAGACUCCUACGGGAGGCAGCAGGGGGGAAUAUUGCACGAUGGGCGGAAGCCUGAUGCAGCAACGCCGCGUGCGGGAUGACGGCCUUCGGGUUGUAAACCGCUUUCGCCUGUGACGAAGCGUGAGUGGCGGUAAUGGGUAAAGAAGCACCGGCUAACUACGUG
rnacentral:rRNA from 1 species